rnacentral:rRNA from 4 species
AGAUCGAACUAUAGAGUUUGAUCCUGGCUCAGAUUGAACGCUGGCGGCAUGCCUUACACAUGCAAGUCGAACGGCAGCACGGGAGCAAUCCUGGUGGCGAGUGGCGAACG